CCCCUCAGCUCUGCCCCCUGUAGCCCUUUGUUCAUGGUUUUUGGGGUCAGUCACCCUCAGUGCCUGCCCAGCAGCCACAUGCAUGUCUCUGCCCAUAGAGCCCCAUUGUGUACACCAGGCACUGAGCCCAGCACCAAGGGAGAAAUCAUCGCCAUCCUCUUUUCCUUCCGGUGAUUGGUCCAGGGGGUCACUUUCCCUGGGGGUAGUCAGCUGUCGUGUCACGAGGACAUUCAAACAGCCCUGUGGGAAGACCCAUGUGACAAGGAGCUGAGGCCUCCAGCAAACAGCCAGAUGAAGACCAUGAGGCACAGAGAGGUUUGUUAACUUGCCCAAGGUCACACAGCUGGUAAGUGGGACAAUCCUGGAGGAACAUUGAGUCCAGAAAGGA